rnacentral:rRNA from 1 species
AUGAACUGCGUCAAGAUUCUCGUACUGCUCUCCCUGAUCCCUCUCGCUCUGAGGGGAGCGUCGCUUCUCGUCGUCCCGUCACCCUCCGCCGACCCCGCGUCGCGCGCCGGCGUCUUGGCUCCGGUACAGGCGGAGCAGUGGAGGCAGCAGCGGAGGAGGACGGCGGGUCAGGCUCAGGGCGGCCGCGCCACCAUCGCGCCCUUCGCCCCGCGGCGGUUCGGCGGCGCCGCCGGCGGCUUCUUCCGGGACGACAAGAGGUUCGCGCCCACGGGGUCGAACCCGCUGCACAACCUGUGA